UACAGAGGUCUCAAGCGUUGUUCGGAUUCACUGGGCGUAAAGGGUGCGUAGGCGGGUCUUUAAGUCAGAGGUGAAAUCCUGGAACUCAACUCCAGAACUGCCUUUGAUACUGAGGAUCUUGAGUUCGGGAGAGGUGAGUGGAACUGCGAGUGUAGAGGUGAAAUUCGUAGAUAUUCGCAAGAACACCAGUGGCGAAGGCGGCUCACUGGCCCGAUACUGACGCUGAGGCACGAAAGCGUGGGGAGCAAACAGG
rnacentral:rRNA from 1 species